CAGAGUGGUUCAGCUCCUUUCUCUCCUGCCUGUCCAAAAAGAUGUUAUUCCUGUGAUUAAAACCAUUACAGUCCUCCAAAGGUUAUAUGUGACUUUCAGGCUUCAGCCUCAAUAGAAGCAGAGUUCUGGAAGAACUCCCUCUACCUAUAAGUGGCCUUUGCGAUGAUAGUCAACGUUGGUUUUGGUACUUACAGUCAGUACCUGAAAAUUAGAUGAAAACAGAGAAGAAGGAAUAGAGAGACGGGAGAGGAGAGAAAGAGAAUGAACAGAAGUCAGUCUAGCCCACAGAGAGAGAGGUCAACUAGCAGAGACAGCGAAUUACCCUAAAGAACAGAAGUGGGAGAGUCCAGCAAGUGAAUUCAUUAUAUCUUUCAUGGAAAUUCAUGGCGUUAAACACACUAAGUGAAUUCUCUGGAAGACAGUCAGAGCAUGUCAAGUUUUAUUUUUAAUGUUUAAAACACUGAUUGUUCAUGCUUUGGGAAUGAAGAAAGGAAAUAACAAAUCAUUCAAAGAAGUAGGAACCCCAAAUCCAUUCAUAGAUGGCCUCCAUUUUUUGCUCCUGGGACAACUAUUCAUGAAUUUUCAGAUGAAGGUGCCAUGGAACAAAACUGAGGAGUAGGGGAAAACUGAUAUGUCAGACAUUCUUUCUGAGGUGAAGACCAUCUGAAUUUGGAAAUGGAGGAGUGACAGCAACUACAGUAUCAUUGCUAUGACUAGUCCCAUCUGUUCCUGGCAUCCCAAGCAAAGAUUUCCCAGAAAAGUAAAGGCAAUACAGAAGAGUUCCAAGGUAGGGGCUUCCAGUCAAGAUGGUGGAAUAAACAGUCCCCAGCGUCACUCUCUCCCACAAAUUAACCAAUUUACAACUAUUAAAAAAAAAAAAAAAAAAACACAAGCAAAGCUCAAAGCUGGGGCUGCUAGAGCUCAGGGGAAGAGGAGGAGAGACCUAAGGAGUGCAUGAAGGCAGGAGAAGCCAAAAUGAGAAAAAGAAAAAAAACACUCCUAUCAUUUCGGGCCGCAGCCACCUUAAGACAGGAGCAGGAGCUGGCAAAAGCUGCAGCUGUGCCCUUGGAUGAAAUUGCAUGGAGGCGGCAGAGGAGAAGAGGGCCUUGGUGGCCCCCAGACCAACAAGAGCACUAAUAGGGUUCCUGUGGACCCACAUAAGAGCAAGGAGCCACAACAACUGAAAAAAAGGAGCCGCUCAGAGGCUGGUGAGUCAUCUCAAGGGAACAGCACACUGCCUGUCCCAUAGGAAGUGUUUGCAGGAAGGGCAGUGGGGGAGGCAGGCCCACCAGAGGAGCACUGGGGCACAACAAGAACAGAUGACUGGCACCUUAAUCAGCACAGGACCACUCAGAGGAGACUGGUCAGGAAUAUAGAAUUGCGUGGGGUGCAGUUUGAUGAAAAGACUCAGGCCCAGAUCAGAGUUUCUACACAACCCAGGUGCACUGGGUCUCUGGAGAGCUGGAAGUACCUAUAAAGUCAACCAUUAAAACCUGAGCUGCACAAAAAGCCUUCCCUAGGGAAUCAGCAGCAAACAGCAAUUUAGCUCAACCACACAGCUCAAGUACUGGUUCCCUCAGAAAGAUCCCCCAUUUUAGAAGAAAGCAAAGGACAAAAAAUCAGUUCUGGCCCAGGCACAUUGCCAGCACCUCUGGGCCUGCCUGGAGACCUGAGGCAUGGAGCCAAGGACUGGACCUCCCUCCCACAACCAGGCACACCACCAGCAUCAAGGAGCAUGCCAAAAUCAUCAGCUCCAUGUGGGUGACCCACCACAGCCACCACAAUAACCACGGCUGCACAAAAGCAGCUAGAAGCCACAGCUACCAUGCAGAUGGUCUGCCAGCCACUGGAGUGCAUUGACACAAGGAGACUCACCAGCAGAGACCAAAGAAAAGAAGAGGAUGUCUCUCUCCACAAAGCCCACUCCACAGUGACAGAAGUUACCUGUUCUACGAUAAUAUUGAGGGAACUGAACACACCUCUCAGCAUUGGACAGAUCAUCUAGGCAACAAAUCAACAGAGUAACCAUUACUAUUUCAGAAGGAGAAAAGAAAUCUAGGGCAAUUAGAGGGGUAAGGAGGGACGAAGAGGGGGGUGGGGAGAGAUUGGACAAAGGGCAUAAAGAAUAAGUUCGAUUUGUAGCAAUAUAUAUGCUAGAAAUAUUGAUUUGAUCAACAUAUGUCAAUGUUGAACUCCCAAAAUAUGCAUAAUCAAUUAUGAUUCAAUAGAAAUUUUAAAAAAAGAAAGAGUUCCAAGGUGAAUAAUCAAAUUACAUGAACAUAAGAACAUUUUCUACUCUAAGAUUCCAUGAUUAUUAUCAACCCAAGUGGAGGUCUUGGGUGCAUAUAAGGUUUCUAUGUAUCCAUGAUAAUGAUGAAUACUGACAGAACAAAAGAGCCACGGAGAAGGAGAGGGAGAGAGAAACAAUUUGGUUUCAUCCAAUUUUCAAUCCAGUUGAUCAAGCAUUGAUUAUCUAUGAUGUGCAAGAUAGCACAUUGAGCAUAUUACAAUUCCCUCCAGCUUGAUUCAUUUAAGAUAGGUUUAUUGAGUAGCUGUAAUGAAGUGCACAUUCUACAAGUAGCUGAGUACAGAAAGAACACACCAUUAUCAUCCCCUUGAAGAACUGCAAAUCUAGAAGUGCAUAAUAGGCAUUUAUAGUGUAUGAACAUAGCUGCCCAUUUAACUAAUUUUUUAGUAAAAGAGAGAUGGCAGGCCUUGUGUACAGAGGGUACAUUAACAAAGCAAAUGAAACAGUGGAAGGACUAGGUGUAUAUCUGCCACGUACUAGUGAAAUGAUUGUUGAUAAGUCAAAAAUCUCUAUUAGGAACCUCCAUAUUCUCAUGUACAAAAUGAGAGUACAUAGUGUUGUUGUAAGUAACUAACACAUUAAGAUCCAGAGGUUGUAAUGAAUUUGGUGUUUUAGAUAGUUGGAAAGGUAAUACAAUUUCAGUAUUUAUGUUACGUUUUAUAAAAAUAUAAAAUAUAUAAAAAUAGUAACUUACAGAAACAUAGCUGGCAUUAAUAUAAUCUGAUCCUGGAAUACUAGCAUCAGCUAUCAGCUUCACUCUGUUAUUAUUAUCUAGAAGAAAAUGUAAGCAAUCAAUGCUAAUUGGCUCUUUAAAUUGCUAUUAAUAUUUUAUCUAUAAAAGUAAUAUAAAGGAGUUCAUGAUAUAAAAUUCCAACUUUACAGAUGAGUGUAAAAUUAAGGAAGUUCUUCUUGUCUCAUAUUUAUACUACCCAGAGACAAUGACUAUUUAUAUGUUCUUGUACAUAUUUCCAGAUUUUUCUGUACAUAUUCUUAGAAAAUUAAUUACGAAUGGUGUGAUUUACAAUCUAUUUCUGGACCAUCUAUUCUUUUCCAUUAAUUUAUCUGCCUUUUCUUUCCUAACUACUAAUUAGUGUUCUCUAGAAUAUUUUAAGAUCUGGUAAAAUUAGAAACCCUGUGCCCAUUACUUUUCUUCAAAUAAAAGGGUUAGAAAUUUUUUCCUGAGAAUUUUUACCAAAUGGAUACUAUGAUUGGAAUGUCCAGUAAUAAUUUUAAUUAAACCUGAAAAUGACAUAAAUGCCAUAAAAUAUUUAUUACUACUUAAUUAUUCUGCAGGUUUCUGUUGUUGUUGUUUUCAUGGAGGAAUAAUUGGUAAACAGGACUGGGUUUGAAUUCUAGAUGAUUUACCUACCAUACAUAGGCUUGAGUGAAUUGCUUUGCUUCUCCACUCCUUAGUUACCUCAGCUAUAACAUGUGUUUGUAAUAUUUGUUUUGCAUAAUUCUUUUGAGUAAAACUUGUAUGAAAGCUUAUAGUAAGCACUCAAUAAAUGUUCUUAGGUUCUUAAAACUUGAGCACAUAUUACAUGUUAAAAUGACUUAGCCAUAUUGUUAGCAAUUACAAUUACCUGUACAAUGGUAAUUUAAAUUUAAAUUUAGAGAUGGGAAAUGUUUAAGCUAAUUUAUGCAAAUUAUUUAUGUCCCAAAGAUACUGAAUUUUGUGGAUCUAACUAUUUUAAUGACAUUGUAUAGUUAGUCAUGUGAAUAAGAAAGGGAAGUAGUCAUGUUCCUACUUUCUUUAUAUGUCUUUGUAACUGUGUGAGUGAAAAACGAACUAAACUUUCUUCAUGGUGUUGGAGUAUUUCUGAAGGUCAUAAUGACCUGUCAAACAGAUAUUUGGACAUCUCUUAUGCAAAUAUUUGCUGCUAAUUCUAGUAUCUUAAAGCCCUAUAAGCUAAUAUCUUCUAAAAUGCACUGUAACAUUUGAAAUUCUACUUCUUACACUACUCAGGGGAAACAAUACACUUCACUUACGCUGGCUCAAGAUAAAAUUCAGGUUCAAUUAAAAUGAAUUCAUUCUCUGUAGGGAAAAAAACAUGAUUCUUUAGCUUUAUGGGUUCUCUGCAUGCACACUGGGAGAAUAUACUUAGUCUAAACAUCUUGUUUGCUUGUUCCUAGUGUGUGUGUGAAAGUGUGAUGAGAGUGUAUUUGCCCAUAGAGGUGGUUGUGAUUUUACAACUUGGUUUCUAACCCAGUUUAAGAAAGUGGGAUUAUUAUCUCCAGACUGCAUACCCAAGGGCCUAUGACUUAAUGUUAUUCAACCAGAAAGUUAGCAGCUUUUAAAGUAAGCAAUCUAUUGAUUACUAACCAUCAUAAGAACUAAUAUUUAUUGAGUGCUUCCUGUGUUCCAGUACUGGGCAAAGAGAUUUACACGAUGAUUUCAUCUAUAACCUUAUAGGAUACAAAUCACUGAAUAGGAUGUUCAGAGUCACUAAGUUAUUUAGUGGAUAAACAGGAUUGCAACCCAGGAAGUCUGUCUGAUUAAUUAUCAUCAUCAUCAUCAUCAUCAUCAUCAUCAUCAUCAUCAUCAUCAUUAUUAUUGUCUGGGCCUUAGAUACGGAGAGUUGGGGUAGUCAUACUCCUCAGUAUUUUUUUAUUAUUUUACGGUUGUUUGAUUUUGCCAGUACCUCUUAUUCUCUUCCCAUCCUAUAAGUAAUAAGGAAGAAUUGUCUGACUUUUCCUAUAGUUAUAACGGGAAUCCAGAUAAUAAC